ensembl:snRNA U6 U6 spliceosomal RNA
GUGCUCGCUUUGGCAGCACAUAUACUAAAACUGGAACCAUACAGAGAAGAUGAGCAUGGCCCCUGCGCAAGGAUGACAUGCAAAUCUGUGAAGCGUUCAGAGAUGUU